UCUGGUCGCGAGCACAGGUGCUCGCGGUAUCGGGCGGCGGACAUGUCAUCGGGAUGUGUAGCGUUAAAUUACCGAGGGAACCAGUCGAUCGUUUUUUAAUCGGAGGAACGGGAAAUACGGUAGAGGGAUACGGCGUACGCCGCGCCGGUGACGGAGCACGCAGAUCCCGCCGUGACGGGAGGUCAUCAGAGCCGUGGCUCGGGACCGUGUUCUUCUCCUGACCCGUAGCUCAGGACGUAGUUGGAUUUCCGGCUGGCGGCGGUGCGCAGGCUAGUAAAUGACAAGUGAGACUAAGGCGGAGCUGUCUCCCACCGCUUGCCACACAUUCGUUUGGAUCUCCAUUGACGCCUGGCGAAACCCUGAGCACCGGAGAUCGGCGGGGGGAGGAAUACACGGCGGCGCUAUCCGUAUGGAGUUCCUGAUGCAGCCCAUUAGGAGGUUUUGCUCGAUGCGGGACCGCGGUGAUGGUAGAUGUCAACGAGAAGGAGCUUCCAAUUGAGCCGCUGCACUACCCCGCGGUGGCGAUAGGGACUGCAGAGCUACCCCCCAUGGCGACAGCCAGCGCCGAUAGGCAGAUGUGUGUGGCGGAUGGGGAUGCUGAGCCGCAAGCAUCUGAGCAGGCUGGACUCGCAGGGUUAGGAUUGGAGCUGCUGCUCCAGGAAGGGCACCUUGCCCUGGGCGACCCAGCGCUCUUGAGAAGGCAAUACGGGGGUUCGCUGACAAACCGGGCGACAUUGUAAUCGUGCUUGCACUGCGUACAAGCUUUGACACACUCGGGGAGGCCUAUGAUUUUUCCAAUCUCUACUCGUGUGAGAAGGGAUUUGGAAUAAGAUGCAGGGAGAGUAUACUGAAUGCGGGGAGGACAAAAUGCAUCCAGGAAAUUGUUUGCGGCUGUGCAGGUAAAGCUGUGGUGGAGAACAGUAGAUUGUGCCGUGACUGCCCUGCAUUAAUAAGGUGUCACAACAUUAAUUAAGCAACUUUGGUUUGGCUACAAAUGAUGUGCUGAAUUAGCAUUGCUAAGAGAAUGCACUCUAUUAUUUUGGUAUGACUAACUAUAGGAACGAGGUUUCACUAGCAUGAAUAAUUUUUCCUGGUUGCACUACGUGAUUGAAUCCUUACCGGUAGUAGUUGGUUGUACCAUGUAAUUGGAUCUUUAUCAGUAGUAGUAGCAGAACUAAGUCAUGGAGCUCUGUAUUUUGCUACUGGAGAUCUGUUUAUCUGGUUGCUAACUGGUAAUAAUAUCUAAGAUUUUUAUUCUUAUAUACUAUACUUCAUUCACUUCACGAUGUCAAUACGUGCCUGCUACUGGUAGCUUCCGGUUAGUUGUGUUCUUGUGUAUUCUAAGAAUAUAUGAUAUUUACUUCUCUUUUUUGUCUAGUUAAUUUUUGAAAUAAUAUACAGAAACAUGUACUAUUAGGUUAUGAAAGUUAUUUAAAUAUUUGCUCAAAGUAUUUAUUAUACAUUUUCUCAAUUGUUAAUCUCUCUGCACAAGCUAUGUGCAUCAACAGGCUUACUAGUUUGUUGGCACCAAAAAAACGGAAGGAGAUGGGGCAGCCAACAACUAGCUGAGAGAAGGCGCCAACGAGGGGCUCAACAAAUGGACAAGGUUCUGCACGAUAUGUCGCCAGCAGGGACAUAAGAGGACAACCUGCCCGGACCGGGGCCAUAUCCCGAAGCCUGUUCGUAAACCGGCCAGGUGCACAAACUGUGGCACUGAAGGUCACGGGCGAAACAACUGCAAAAGAGUAGGCGAUUUGCGGAUAAACAUGUGAGGACCGACCACAAUGUCCCUGACUAAGCUGUCUGUUUGAUCGUUUCUUUACUGUAGACCAUUGUGUUGUGUAGCUAAGUGUGUGCGGCGAGAAUGUGUUGGAUUUCCUAUAAAAUCUGUCUUGUUUGCAUGCUUGCUGAAUGUAAUGCAGUGCUGAUGGACGUGUUGAUGACUCGUUUCUGAAUAAAAUGAAACUCCUCUGCGUGUAUGUUCAAACUGA